AUUAAUAUGAACACUACGAUGAACAAAUUUAUCUUUUUUUUUUUAAUAAAGAUGUGAUAUUUUAAAAUUUGCUAUUUAAAAUUAUGGCAACACAGGAGAAGAUAGCUCAAUAAUACAUGAUUUGGAAUUGCCUGAGACUUAUAAUGUUCUUUUAGAUAAACUAUAAUCUGAAAAAUUUGAUAAAUUACCAUACUAAGGUUGCUACUCCCUUAGAGAAAGAAUCUUAUCAAUGGUGUUAGACCUGUUUUGGUUACAAAUCUUUCUUGUAGAACUGCUUUGGUUACAAAUUCUCUUGUAGAACUGUUUUGGUUACAAAUCUUUCUUGUAGAACUGUUUUGGUUUCAUUCAAAUCUCUCUUGUAGAACUGUUUUGGUUACAAAUCUCUCUUGUAGAACUGUUUUGGUUACAAAUCUCUCUUGUAGAACUGUUUUGGUUACAAUUCUUUCUUGUAGAACUAUUUUGGUUACAAAUCUCUCUUGUAGGCCUGUUUUGGUUACAAUUCUUUCUUGUAGAUUUGUUUUAGUCACAAAUCUUUCUUGUAGACCUGUUUUGGUCACAAAUCUCUCAUGUAGACCUCUUUUGAUUACAAAGCCCUCUAUGUAUAUCUAAUUUUGAACUUAUAAAUAUAAGUGCUGCUGAUGAAGGUUAAUCAUUAAAGGAAGCCUUGAAGACAGAACAGUUAUGAUAUAAAAGCAUAUAUAGAAAGAUUUAUAGAAAUGUGAUGACUAUAUCUCUUUGGAACUGUUGUAAUUUUAAAAUCAUGCAUGGCAAUGUGUGUUGAUAAGAAUUUCUUGUCAUCCUGAAUCCUGAAAUGUUUAAUUCUAACUCAAUUAGACUUUAAGGGUUGCAUUUUAAGGGAAAAGCUCUGUAAUAUUUUUGAUCACAAACAUGUCUUUAUUAUCUGUGAGUGACUUAGAUCUAUACCAGAGAUGUUUUUUUGUUUUUUGACUCUUUGUUAGUUAUUUUAAUGCUUCAUGCAGAUUUGAUCAGUCAAGCCAUUUUAAGUUUAUUCUUAUAUUGUGCUGUUUCACCACUGUCCCUGUUUGGGAAGGAUUGGUCCUGAUGGCAAAAUGCUAAACCCUGCCUACUUCUGUAUGUGCCAGACUCAAGUCAUGACUCAUUAAGUCUGUGAUUCAUAGGUUGUGUUUGGUUGCUGUCAGUCAUAUUUGUUUUUCAUUUAUUGUUUUAUCACCAAUCAGGUUGUUUGAAUUUUCUUGUUGAAUUUUCAUGACUGGGCCUUUUAUUGCUCCAAAGGUUAUGGGCUUUCCUUUUGUUGAAGGCUGUACAGUGAAUUAUAAUUGCUUACAUCCAUGCCAUGUAGUCUCUGGUGGAUAGUUGUCUCAUUGCAAUCAAACCACAUCAUUUUUGUUAGUAUCUGAAAUUUCGAAAUUACUUUUAUCUUAAUUAUGUUCUAUUGCUUUCAUUUGUCAAUUUUUUUUUAAGUGUUAAUUUCAAGAAAUAAAAGAUGUGUUUCCUCAUAGAAUGAUAUGUUUAUUUUAGUUUCAAGUCUCUUCACCAUUAGAUAAACCUUUACAUUUCUGUUUCGUUUUUUGUAAAGUUUUUCAGAAGAGGAAGAGACUUCUUACAUGAUGUGUAAAAAUCCUUUUUGGAACUUCAAUGUUUGUGAACUUAAAUAUAAUUCUGUGUCAUUUAAUAAAAGAUGGUUAUAUUAUUUACAAACGUUUCUCUUAUGAAAUUUAACAAAAAUGUUAUCCUUUGUGAUUAAAAAGAAUUACUUUCUUUUUGAGGAUAAUAAUUGAAUAGUUUUUUUUUGGGUGUUCAAAAUCUUAACAACAGUGUAGAAAGCCUUGUACUGUUUAUCAUCAGAAAUUUGGCUUUUCUCAAAUCUUGUUUAUCCUAAUGAUGGGUAACCAGAGUUAACUUUCAAUCUUCUUAUUGAUGAGGAAUAGAUGGUUACAAAUUAAGUAUUGCAAUAUUUGCAUGAUAUUUUAUAGGUAUGAGAACCAGUUACAAAUUUAAAAAAAUCAAAACACUUAAGAUUCAAGUCAGUAAAUAAUAGAAAUUCCCACUUAAUAUGUGCAUUGAUGUGAGAUAUUAUUUUUUUUGUUGCAAUACAAGAAAAAACUGUGUCAAAUGAACCAAACACAUAUAAAUUUCAACACUUCUUCCUUUACUAAAUCUGAACUUUUGAAUUUAUGUCAGUUGAAAUCAAUUGAGUUGUAUUGUUUAGCAGAGAAAUAUGAAAAUAAAAAUUUUAAUAUUUAAACUUUUUUGAAAAAAAAAUGGUUGAUGAGAUGCUGGUGUUUGUAAUUGGAAACUGAGGGAAACUGGUCCUCAACCUAUAUAGCCUUUAUAAUUUAUUAUAUGUGAGAAAUGUGAUAUAGUAUAUUGAACUGCAAUAUUUUUUUUUAAUCAAUUGUGCAAGACCAUUGGAAGCAAAAUUUGCAACUCUUUUCUUAUAAAUGGUACUUUAAUUGAAAUGUUUAAAUAUAGCUUGCAUAUUGUGUACUAUUAAAUAACUGUAAUAAACAAUUCCUGACUUAUCUACUUGUCCAAUUUCCUAGGAAAGUUAAAAAUUGUUUUUAGUUCAAACAAAUUUGAUUUUCAACAGACUUCAGAUUGAAAUAUUCUUAAAAUACAUACAUAUCAUAGUGACUUUCUUAUAUAUGUAAUAUAUAAUAUAUUAGAUAUAAUUUUUCACCAUUUGUCUUUCCAAGAUUAUUACUACUUUUACCGCAGAUUCCAUUGAGUGUGUAGCAAAAGGUAAUAUCUUUGGUUAGCUUGCUUGUUAGCUGAACCGUGAAUUUGUU
rnacentral:lncRNA from 1 species